rnacentral:rRNA from 1 species
AGGGCACCACCAGGAGUGGAGCCUGCGGCUUAAUUUGACUCAACACGGGGAAACUCACCCGGCCCGGACACCGUAAGGAUUGACAGAUUGAUAGCUUUUUCAUGAUUCGGUGGAUGGUGGUGCAUGGCCGUUCUUAGUUCGUGGAGCGAUUUGUCUGGUUUAUUCCGAUAACGAGCGAGACUCUAGCCUACUAAAUAGUCAGCGCAUUGUCUCUGUGUGUUUGACUUCUUAGAGGGAUUUUCGGUGUACAGCCGCACGAAAUUGAGCAAUAACAGGUCUGUGAUGCCCUUAGAUGUCCGGGGCUGCACGCGCGCUACACUGGCAAAAUCAGCGUGCUUGUCCUUCCCCGAAAGGGGUUGGUAAACCCUUGAAAAUUUGCCGUGAUUGGGAUUGGAGAUUGCAAUUAUUUUCCAUGAACGAGGAAUUCCAAGUAAGUGCGAGUCAUCAGCUCGCGUUGAUUACGUCCCUGCCCUUUGUACACACCGCCCGUCGCUGCCCGGGACUGAGCCAUUUCGAGAA